rnacentral:lncRNA from 1 species
AAGCAAUGAUGGGAGUGCAGAAAUGGGAAGUGACAUUACUGAUCACAAGAUGGACUCGGAAACCAGGGAUUCUCAGACCUCAAGAAAAGUUACCCGACAAAGAUAAACUUGUUGGAGAUCAAGAGAAACUUGUUGCCACAAAGGAGGCUGCAGAAUUAGGAAGGAAUGAUGAUACAUCAUUAAACAAGUCUAGCUUCAAUGUUGGUCAAAAUCUGGAGCGUCGGGAAGGCCCACUUGGUCAGUCGCCCAAAGAAGCAAUCAAGAUUGACAAAGAUAAGGUAAAGGCCAUAUUAGAAAAAGGAGAAAGGAACGAGGGGAAAUGACAAUAAAGAAAGAUGUAAUGGAUGAGGAUGAUCUCAUUGAGAGGGAGCUUGAAGAUGGAGUUGAAAUAACAAACAAGAUGAUUGACAAAGACAAAGUAAAGACCGCGUUAGAAAAAAUGAGAAAGGAACGAGGUGAAAUGACAAUAAAGAAAGAUAUAAUGGACGAGGAUGAUCUCAUUGAGAGGGAGCUUGAAGAUGGAGUAGAGUUAGCAGUUGAGAAUGAGAAAAAUAAGCAACAGAGAAGACAGAGCUUGUCUAAGCCUGAUGAUGAAGAUCAUGGUGAGGACCUUGAGGAGGCUAGAGACAGGGACGG